AUUGAACGCUGGCGGAAUGCUUUACACAUGCAAGUCGAACGGCAGCACGGGGGCAGCCCUGGUGGCGAGUGGCGAACGGGUGAGUAAUACAUCGGAACGUGCCCGGUCGUGGGGGAUAACGUAGCGAAAGUUACGCUAAUACCGCAUACGAUCUGAGGAUGAAAGCGGGGGACCUUCGGGCCUCGCGCGAUCGGAGCGGCCGAUGUCAGAUUAGGUAGUUGGUGGGGUAAAGGCCUACCAAGCCGACGAUCUGUAGCUGGUCUGAGAGGACGACCAGCCACACUGGGACUGAGACACGGCCCAGACUCCUACGGGAGGCAGCAGUGGGGAAUUUUAGACAAUGGGCGCAAGCCUGAUCCAGCCAUUCCGCGUGCAGGACGAAGGCCUUCGGGUUGUAAACUGCUUUUGUACGGAACGAAAAGGCUCUGGCUAAUACCUGGGGCUCAUGACGGUACCGUAAGAAUAAGCACCGGCUAACUACGUG
rnacentral:rRNA from 1 species